rnacentral:rRNA from 1 species
GACGAACGCUGGCGGCGUGCCUAAUACAUGCAAGUCGAGCGAAGUUUUUCUGGUGCUUGCACUAGAAAAACUUAGCGGCGAACGGGUGAGUAACACGUAAAGAACCUGCCUCAUAGACUGGGACAACUAUUGGAAACGAUAGCUAAUACCGGAUAACAGCAUUAACUGCAUGGUUGAUGUUUGAAAGUUGGUUAUGCUAACACUAUGAGAUGGCUUUGCGGUGCAUUAGCUAGUUGGUGGGGUAAAGGCCCACCAAGGCGACGAUGCAUAGCCGACCUGAGAGGGUGAUCGGCCACACUGGGACUGAGACACGGCCCAGACUCCUACAGGAGGCAGCAGUAGGGAAUCUUCCGCAAUGGGCGAAAGCCUGACGGAGCAACGCCGCGUGAGUGAAGAAGGAUUUCGGUUCGUAAAGCUCUGUUGUUAGGGAAGAAUGGAUAUGUAGUAACUAUACAUAUAAGAGACGGUACCUAACCAGAAAGCCACGGCUAACUACGUGCCAGCAGCCGCGGUAAUACGUAGGUGGCAAGCGUUGUCCGGAAUUAUUGGGCGUAAAGCGCGCGCAGGUGGUUUAAUAAGUCUGAUGUGAAAGCCCACGGCUCAACCGUGGAGGGUCAUUGGAAACUGCUAAACUUGAGUGCAGGAGAGAAAAGUGGAAUUCCUAGUGUAGCGGUGAAAUGCGUAGAGAUUAGGAGGAACACCAGUGGCGAAGGCGGCUUUUUGGCCUGUAACUGACACUGAGGCGCGAAAGCGUGGGGAGCAAACAGG